rnacentral:sRNA from 2 species
UUGAAUAACAAGCCGAAUUUCUUAAUGAAAACGGGGGAACCAUGAGUUUAGGGGUGAAUUCAUCCAAGCCGCAUAUGGCUGGAUGAUAGGGUGCCUGUACAUCCGAAUCCGUCAGCUAACCUCGUAGGCUUUGUUACAGGAACCU